ACCUGGACAGACACACACACACACACACACACACACACACACUCCUUAUUCAUUCCUGCUACAAAUUUAGAGCAGCCACACC